UACGUAUGGUGCGAACGUUGUUCGGAAUCACUGGGCAUAAAGAGCACGUAGGCGGUUGAGCAAGUCCAUUGUGAAAUCCCCCGGCUUAACCGGGGAACUGCAGUGGAUACUACUUGACUUGAGUGCAGGAGGGGAGAGUGGAAUUCCAGGUGGAGCGGUGAAAUGCGUAGAUAUCUGGAGGAACGCCGGUGGCGAAAGCGACUCUCUGGUCUGUAACUGACGCUGAGGUGCGAAAGCUAGGGGAGCAAACGGG
rnacentral:rRNA from 1 species